UACGUAGGGGGCAAGCGUUGUCCGGAAUCAUUGGGCGUAAAGGGUGCGUAGGCGGCGCGGUAAGUCGGGUGUGAAAUCUCGGAGCUUAACUCCGAAACUGCAUUCGAUACUGCCGUGCUUGAGGACUGGAGAGGAGACUGGAAUUUACGGUGUAGCGGUGAAAUGCGUAGAUAUCGUAAGGAAGACCAGUGGCGAAGGCGGGUCUCUGGACAGUUCCUGACGCUGAGGCGCGAAGGCCAGGGGAGCAAACGGG
rnacentral:rRNA from 1 species